CAGCCGCCGCGGGAAAACGGAGGGUGCAAGCGUUAAUCGGAAUUACUGGGCGUAAAGCGUGCGUAGGCGGUUCGUUAAGUCUGUUGUGAAAGCCCCGGGCUCAACCUGGGAAUGGCAAUGGAUACUGGCGAGCUAGAGUGUGUCAGAGGAUGGUGGAAUUCCCGGUGUAGCGGUGAAAUGCGUAGAGAUCGGGAGGAACAUCAGUGGCGAAGGCGGCCAUCUGGGACAACACUGACGCUGAGGCACGAAAGCGUGGGGAGCAAACAGGAUUAGAUACCCCAGUAGUCCCUGUCUCUUAUAA
rnacentral:rRNA from 1 species